AAUAGCCUAACGGCUGAACCAGCAACUUGAAGGAAUGUAUAGCGAAAGCUAGUUGUGUUUAACUAGCCAUAAGUAGUUGGUGCAAUAUUGACUCGAUCAAAUAAAAUUCUGGGUAGAUUAUGAUUAUGACAUUUUCUAUCUAUGUGUCUUGACCAAAUUACGUGCCAGCAGUCGCGGUAACACGUAAAAGACUAGUGUUAUUCAUCUUUAAUAGGUUUAAAGGGUACCUAGACGGCUAAUCAAGCCCCCAGUAAAAGGGUACUAAUAAGCUAGAGUUUCAUGUAAGAGGGCAUUAAAGUACUGAGAACGUUGAGAGAUGAAAUUCUGUGAUACUAUAUACGGCACUGGUAAAGGCGAAAGCAUCCCAUUAUGUAAUAACUGACGUUGAGGGACGAAGGCUGUGUGUAGCAAAAAGGAUUAGAUACCCAAGUAGUCUCAGCAGAAAAUUAUGAAUGUCAUAGGACAGACGAAACGUUUGUACUAUAAAUGAAAGUGUAAACAUUCCACCUUAAGAGUAAUUUGGCAACAUUGGAACUGAAAUCAUUAGACCGUUUCUGAAACAAGUAGUGAAGUAUGUUGUUUAAUUUGAUGAUCCGCAAAAAACCUUACCACAAUUUGAAUAUAAUAGAUAUUUAUACAAGCGCUGCACGGUUGUCUUCAGUUAAUGUCGUGAGAUUAUGGUUAGUUCCAUCAAAUUAACGUAAACCCUUACUCUAUUUUAUUAUAGAGUAGUUCACCAUUAUAUUGGAUAUGAUAAAAGGGACUAAGACAAGUCAUCAUGGCCUAAAUAUUGUGGGCUAUAGACGUGCCACAUAUGCCUUAACAAAGGGAUGCAAAAUUGUGAAAUUGAGCUAAACCUUAAAUUUGGAUAAAAGCAAAAU
rnacentral:rRNA from 1 species